UCCGCAAGUAAAGCGGCAAACGGGUGAGUAACACGUAGCUAACCUACUUGUGCGACGGUAAUAACAGCUCGAAAGGGCUGCUAAUGACCGAUAUAAUCCAGAUUUCUCAAGAAGACUGGAUGAAAGUCUAUACGGCGCGCGCAAAAGGGGCUGCGGCCUAUCAGCUUGUUGGUGAGGUAACGGCUCACCAAGGCGAUGACGGGUAGGGGGCGUGAGAGCGCGACCCCCCACAUGGGGACUGAGACACGGCCCUGACUCCUACGGGAGGCAGCAGUAGGGAAUCUUCCGCAAUGGACGAAAGUCUGACGGAGCGACACCGCGUGGAGGAUGAAGGCCUUCGGGUUGUAAACUCCUUUUCCGGGGGAAGAAUAAGGCCAAUCGACUUGGUCGAUGACGGUACUCCGGGAAUAAGCCACGGCUAACUCUGUGCCAGCAGCCGCGGUAAGACAGAGGCGGCGAGCGUUGCCCGGAUUCAUUGGGCGUAAAGGGCGCCUAGGCGGUCGCGUGUGCCAUCGGUGAAAUUUCUCCGCUCAACGGGGAAGCGCCCGGUGUGACUGCGCGGCUGGAGGGCGGGAGAGGGAAGUGGAACGACUAGAGUAGCGGUGAAAUGCGCAGAUACUAGUCGGUACCUCAAUAGCGAAGGCAACUUCCUGGCCCGUUCCUGACGCUGACGCGCGAAAGCGUGGGGAGCAAACCGGAUUAGAUACCCGGGUAGUCCACGCCCUAAACGAUGUAGACUAGGUGUUGGACUCUUUAAUAGAAGUCCAGUGCCGCAGCUAACGCGUUAAGUCUACCGCCUGGGGGUGUACGGCCGCAAGGUUGAAACUCAAAGGGAAUUGACGGGGGGCCCGCACAAGCAGUGGAGCACGUGGGUUUAAUUCGACGCAACGCGAAGAACCUUACCUGGGGCUUGACAU
rnacentral:rRNA from 1 species